AAGGCCAAUGGCUUAAAAAGCAGUGCUGAUGGUCGCUGAGAGAGAGGAGAUCAAAGUAGUGUGAUGGGUGUUGAAAGUUCGCAUCUUUGGCCUUUUGGAGCACAAAAUAGAGAAGGGAAGCACUCUAUGAAGCAAAGACUCCAACACGAACAUUGGAUAUGACAUGGACAUGGCUAAUGUCCAAAGUGUAAGACAAGGAACACAACACAUAUAUAUGGAUAGAUAGAUAGAUAUAUAAGAUUUACAAUUUUUCUUAAAAGUUAAAACAACUAAUAAUUCUUUUGAAAAUGAAUCUCACAUAGGAUAUAAAAGAUGUUAUGAGCCUUAUGAUAUUUAUAAAUAAGUUAAUUUUUAUUUUAUUUUUUAUAAUAAGCGUGUAAGGUAAGUGUUUAGUUAAGAAAAAAUGUUAAUUCAUUCUCUUAGUCCGUGUCUACAUCGUGUUGGAAAGAUAUUUAAGUUGUGUUAGAAAAUUGUUUAAACAAAAAAAAUAAAUUUAAAUGUGACGCAAUGGAGAAGUGUCAAUUAUGUGUCAAGGCGUGUUUCACAGGUAUCAUAUCCCUAAACGUGUCAAACGUGCUAACAUAGCGUUUCAUAAAUGUGUCUUUGCUGGGGGGGGGGACAAAUCAUUUCACCCUGAUGUGCAAUUCCUUGAGGGAGAAGAUGGAUUAUAUAGUUGGAUACUUCCUGGAUCUUGAAGGCAGAUGGGGCAGGUGAACCUACCCGUCAUGCUACUAGUCUGUACGUGGUGAAGUUUUUUAGCAGUGGAAUGUAACAAGGAGGCACAAUUCCAUGAUAAGCAUUCCUUACAAUUUAUGGUUGAUAAACUUGGGAAGGUUGUCAGACAGAAGAGGAAAUCUCAAAGUACAAGCUUUGCAUAUUUAAACAUUCCUUGAAAUUUAUGUAUCACAAAGAAACCAGUAUUGGUUUUUUAGGUUUGUAUUUGUAUCCUUGAGCAAGCUAGUUUGUAAGUGGUUGUUAUUUUUUUAUUUGUUUAUAAGUCAUGCAUCAUGAUGAUUAGUUUGCUCUGUAUUUCAUAUAUUCUUUUGCUGCAAACUUAAGAGGAAUAUACUCUGAAAAAUCGCAAAUUGUGACAGUAAAUGGCAAAAUAAUUAAAUAACGAGGUAUCUCUAUUGAUUUAUACCUUCUCAUUAGGUUGACACUCGACACCAUUGUCCUCGGAGAAUGAGAGGUCUGCCUUAAAAUUAAAAUGCUGCUGGUUACAACCGUCGGCAAUCCCAUUAAACCUGCUGUUCUGAAGUUUGUGAAGCAGUAUUUAGCAUAUGCAGCAUGCAUCUAAUUAUUAUAGGAUUUUGAUCAAAUAAUUUGAAAAAUAAAAUGUUCUUA